AUGAACGCUGGCGGCGUGCCUAACCCAUGCAAGUCGCGCGGCAGCGAGGGGUGCUUGCACCCUGUCGGCGAGCGGCGGACGGCUGAGUAACGCGUGGGAACGUGCCCCAAAGUGAGGAAUAACUGCCCGAAAGGGUAGCUAAUACCGCAUAUUAUCUUCGGAUCAAAGGAUUUAUCCGCUUUGGGAGCGGCUCGCGUCGGAUUAGGUAGUUGGUGAGGUAAUGGCUCACCAAGCCGACGAUCCGUAGCUGGUCUGAGAGGAUGACCAGCCAGACUGGAACUGAGACACGGUCCAGACUCCUACGGGAGGCAGCAGUGAGGAAUCUUCCACAAUGGGCGAAAGCCUGAUGGAGCAACGCCGCGUGCAGGACGAAGGCCUUCGGGUUGUAAACUGCUUUUAUAAGUGAGGAAUAUGACGGUAACUUAUGAAUAAGAAUCGGCUAACUACGUG
rnacentral:rRNA from 1 species